AACGAGCGCAACCCUUGUCAUUAGUUGCUACAUUUAGUUGGGCACUCUAAUGAGACUGCCGGUGACAAACCGGAGGAAGGUGGGGAUGACGUCAAGUCCUCAUGGCCCUUAUAGGUGGGGCUACACACGUCAUACAAUGGCUGGUACAAAGGGUUGCCAACCCGCGAGGGGGAGCUAAUCCCAUAAAACCAGUCGUAGUCCGGAUCGCAGUCUGCAACUCGACUGCGUGAAGUCGGAAUCGCUAGUAAUCGUGAUCAGAAUGUCACGGUGAAUACGUUCCCGGGUCUUGUACACACCG
rnacentral:rRNA from 1 species